rnacentral:rRNA from 1 species
CAGCCGAGGGGCAUCAGGAAGAAAGCUUGCUUUCUUUGCUGGCGACCGGCGCACGGGUGAGUAACACGUAUCCAACCUGCCCUUUACUCGGGGAUAGCCUUUCGAAAGAAAGAUUAAUACCCGAUGGCAUAAUGAUUCCGCAUGGUUUCAUUAUUAAAGGAUUCCGGUAAAGGAUGGGGAUGCGUUCCAUUAGGUUGUUGGUGAGGUAACGGCUCACCAAGCCUUCGAUGGAUAGGGGUUCUGAGAGGAAGGUCCCCCACAUUGGAACUGAGACACGGUCCAAACUCCUACGGGAGGCAGCAGUGAGGAAUAUUGGUCAAUGGGCGCUAGCCUGAACCAGCCAAGUAGCGUGAAGGAUGAAGGCUCUAUGGGUCGUAAACUUCUUUUAUAUAAGAAUAAAGUGCAGUAUGUAUACUGUUUUGUAUGUAUUAUAUGAAUAAGGAUCGGCUAACUCCGUGCCAGCAGCCGCGGUAAUACGGAAGAUCCGAGCGUUGUCCGGAUUUAUUGGGUUUAAAGGGAGCGUAGGUGGACUGGUAAGUCAGUUGUGAAAGUUUGCGGCUCAACCGUAAAAUUGCAGUUGAUACUGUCAGUCUUGAGUACAGUAGAGGUGGGCGGAAUUCGUGGUGUAGCGGUGAAAUGCUUAGAUAUCACGAAGAACUCCGAUUGCGAAGGCAGCUCACUGGACUGCAACUGACACUGAUGCUCGAAAGUGUGGGUAUCAAACAGGAUUAGAUACCCUGGUAGUCCACACAGUAAACGAUGAAUACUCGCUGUUUGCGAUAUACAGUAAGCGGCCAAGCGA